GACGAACGCUGGCGGCGUGCUUAACACAUGCAAGUCGAACGGUAAGGCCCUUCGGGGUACACGAGUGGCGAACGGGUGAGUAACACGUGGGUGAUCUGCCCUGCACUUCGGGAUAAGCCUGGGAAACUGGGUCUAAUACCGGAUAGGACCACUGCCUGCAUGGGUGGGGGGGGAAAGCUUUUGCGGUGUGGGAUGGGCCCGCGGCCUAGCAGCUUGUUGGUGGGGUGAUGGCCUACCAAGGCGACGACGGGUAGCCGGCCGGAGAGGGUGACCGGCCACACUGGGACUGAGACACGGCCCAGACUCCUACGGGAGGCAGCAGUGGGGAAUAUUGCACAAUGGGCGCAAGCCUGAUGCAGCAACGCCGCGUGAGGGAUGACGGCCUUCGGGUUGUAAACCUCUUUUAGUAGGGAAGAAGCGAAAGUGACGGUACCUGCAGAAAAAGCACCGGCUAACUACGUGCCAGCAGCCGCCGUAA
rnacentral:rRNA from 1 species